ACAAUGGGGCUUCAAGACGGUGAUUCUUCUACCCAAUUUAAAAAAACCCCCAUUGCCAGUUAGGGUUUAUUCAUCUACGUAACAUUGUGUGAAAACCGAAGCAACGGCUCCUUCUUCGACUCCUGCAAAUCCGGAGAGCUCAAUCACACACUCAAAGAGUUUGAUAUUUUCAAGGAAUGGGGAAGCUGGGGAAGAAGGCAAGGAAGUUCUCAAAGAAGAAUCUUCAGUCUGUGCUCAAAAGAAAGAGGCAGCUCAAGUCUCUGUUCAAAAGGAGAGCUUCUAAAAGAGAUCGGCAUAAUGCUGCUGAAGAUGAAGAUGAGGUAGAUAUAGAGCUGUCUAAUGGAAGAAACCCUGAAGCUGGAGAUAUUGAAGACUUUUCUCUUGAUGCGGUAUUUAGUGAAGAUGAUAGUGAUGUGACAGGAGAUGAUUCUGAGAGUGAUGGAUAUCUCUCAGAGGACUCAAGCUGUGCACAUGUUGCUGAAAGUGGAAGUGAGGAUUAUCUUAAAGACAGCAGUGGAGGUAGUGCUUUAUCGGUGCAAAACAACGAAAUUCAUUUAGAUCUUGUACAGAAGACAAAAAAAUUGAACAGGUUGCAGGAAAAGGAUCCAGAAUUUGCUAAGUUUUUGGAAAGCUAUGAUAAAGGCCAACCUUUCAGAAACGAAGAAACUUAUUCUGAUGAGGAUGAGAUAAGUAAUGAAGGCAUGGCCUCAAAUGAGGGCAAGUUCUUGACUAGCUCUGCUGUUAAAAGUUGGUGUCAGCUAGUGAAGGAGCAGCACAGUGUGCCUGCCUUAACUAGUCUCUUAAAUGGAUAUCGGGCUGCAUGCCACUAUGGAACCAAGUCAAGUGGUGUCCUUGAUGCUGAAUCAUGGAGUAGAAUUCAGAACAGUGAAACUUUCUGUGAGAUAUUGAUGUUCGUACUUCAUGAGGCUGAUAAUAUAUUUCGAGGGCUACUGGAAAUAUCGAGUUCUAAUUGCAAGAAGGAAGCAAUUUUGGGGUUAAAGAAUACUUCAAAAUGGAAAACUCUGAGGCCACUAAUUAAAUCUUAUUUGAGGAGUACCCUGUUUCUCCUGAGUCAAGUUACCGACUAUGAGAUAUUGGCCUUUGCCCUAGCAAGACUCAGAAAUUCAAUUUUAUAUUUUGCUGCUUUUCCUUCUUUACUGCGCAGAUUGAUCAAGAUUGCAGUUCAUUUGUGGGCAACAGGUGGAGGAGCCCUAUCAUCACAUUCCUUUCUCAUCAUAAAAGAUGUGGCGUCUGUGUUUAGCUCCAAUUGUUUUGACCCCUGCUUUGUUAAAACUUACAAGGCCUUCAUUGGUCACUGCCAAUUUUUGGAGUCAGCUGUAUUUAAACAUAUGCAAUUUCUGAGGAAUUCCUUGGUUGAGCUUUGCUCUCUAGAUAUGCAGAAAUCAUCUAGGAAAGCAAUGGUUUCUAUCAAGCAACUUGCAAAGACACUGCAGCAGGGUCUACAAAUGAAGAAGGAAGCGCUAAAGAAAAUAUGCAGUUGGCAAUACGUUAAUUGCAUUGAUAUUUGGGUAACGUUUAUAGCAGCAAAUAUACGUGAUUAUGAUCUUCAACCACUGCUUUUUAUGAUCAUUCAGAUUAUAAAUGGAGUGGCUGUCCUGUUUAGUGGACCAAGAUAUUUACCCUUAAGACUUAAAUGCAUCCAAUGGCUGAACCAUCUCUCCAGUUCUAGUGGGAUUUUCAUCCCUGUUGCAUCAUUGGUGUUGGAUGUUUUAGAAUAUAAUAUUAGUAAGGAGGGCAGGAGCAACGAAAAGGCUGUCAACCUUUCAUCUGCUGUUAAGUUGCCAAAACACUGGUUAAAAUCACGAAAUUUCCAAGAAGAGUGUGUUUCAUCUGUCAUUGAACUGCUUGCAGAGCAUUUUGCUCAAUGGAGCUACCACAUAUCUUUUCCUGAACUGGCAACUAUUCCUCUCGUCCGGCUCAAGAAGUUUAUUGAGAUAAUUAGUAUCGAGAGUUUUAGACGUGUGGUGAAGCGUUUUAUUGAUCAGGUGGAGCACAACAUAGAGUUUGUCCAGAAGAAAAGAGAUGAGGUGGCUUUUUCACCCAAAGAUCAGCAAUCUGUUGAAUCAUUUCUCCAGCUGGAGAAGCAUAGUGGCAAGUUCCCAUUUACACAGUAUUACAGAAGCAUCAUGGAGAAGGCUGCUUCUAGAAAUCUGGUUUUGAAUGAAAAGUUUGCUGGAGCAGAGAAAAUCAUAAAGAAUAUACAACAGCAUCCAUCUGACAUGGUAGAUGUGGGUGGUAAAGGCAAAGGACAUUCAGUGAAAAGAAAAACACUUUCUCGUGAGAGAAAGAAUGGAAAGAAAAUUAAAGUGUGAACAUAAAUGUUUUCUCAUGAGUCAUGACCAGGUACAAGUGCAUACUUCCAACAAAAAAUUUUAGCGAAAAGGCAGAGUCCACGCCGUCUCAUGUGAUUUAUCAGGUCCUCAUCGCCAUGCUUUUGACCAGUUUUUCGACUGAUUUUCUUCAAGUCUUGCUUAUCAAGCCUAUGCCGUAGACUAGAAGAAAUAUGUUUGAUAUUUUUUUAACAAGCUGUACUAUUUUAUAGGAGUUGUUCAAACUUAUGUAAGGUAUAAUAUAUAAAUUUAAAUUUUCUUUAAAAAAAAAAAAAAAACUAAAUUCAAAUACGCUACUUGGAUUUGGGUUCAGUUGCAAAAA